CGCUCUGUCAUUCAACCCAGGGUGGAGUGCAAUGGUGCAAUCUCAGCUCCCUACAACCUCUGCCUCCUGGGUUUAAGCAAUUCUCCAGACUCAGCCUCCCAAGUAGCUGGGAUUACGGGUGCCUGCCACCAUGCCUGGCUAAUUUUUGUGUUUUAGUAGAGGCAGGGUUUUGCCACAUUGGCUAAGCAGGUCUUGCACUCCUGGGAUUCUCCUGCCGUGGUCUCCCAAAGUGCUGGAAUUACAGGUGACAGUGGGAACUGGAUCGAGAUCGCCUAUGGCACCAGCUCAGGGGGCGUGCGGGUCAUCGUGCAGCACCCGGAGACUGUGGGCUCGGGGCCUCAGCUCUUCCAGACCUUCACUGUGCACCGCAGCCCCGUCACCAAGAUCAUGCUGUCGGAGAAGCACCUCAUCUCAGUCUGUGCCGACAACAACCACGUGCGGACAUGGUCUGUGACUCGCUUCCGCGGCAUGAUUUCCACCCAGCCCGGCUCCACCCCACUCGCUUCCUUCAAGAUCCUGGCUUUGGAGUCGGCAGAUGGGCAUGGCGGCUGCAGUGCUGGCAAUGACAUUGGCCCCUAUGGCGAGCGGGACGACCAGCAAGUGUUCAUCCAGAAGGUGGUGCCCAGCGCCAGCCAGCUCUUCGUGCGUCUCUCAUCUACUGGGCAGCGGGUGUGCUCCGUGCGCUCCGUGGACGGCUCACCCACGACGGCCUUCACAGUGCUGGAGUGUGAGGGCUCCCGGCGGCUCGGCUCUCGGCCCCGGCGCUACCUGCUCACCGGC
rnacentral:sRNA from 1 species